CACGUAGGGGCCAAGCGUUGUCCGGAUUUAUUGGGCGUAAAGAGCUCGUAGGCGGCUCGGUAAGUCGGGUGUGAAACCUCCAGGCUCAACCUGGAGACGCCACCCGAUACUGCUGUGGCUAGAGUCCGGUAGGGGAGCGUGGAAUUCCUGGUGUAGCGGUGAAAUGCGCAGAUAUCAGGAGGAACACCAGCGGCGAAGGCGGCGCUCUGGGCCGGAACUGACGCUGAGGAGCGAAAGCGUGGGUAGCAAACGG
rnacentral:rRNA from 1 species